UACGUAGGGGCCGAGCGUUGUCCGGAGUUAUUGGGCGUAAAGCGCGCGCAGGCGGCUUCGCGCGCCCGACGUGAAAGCCCCCGGCUUAACCGGGAGAGUCGUUGGGGACGGCGGAGCUUGAGGGCGGGAGAGGUCGGUGGAAUUCCCGGUGUAGUGGUGAAAUGCGUAGAGAUCGGGAGGAACACCUGUGGCUAAGGCGGCCGACUGGGCCGACCCUGACGCUGAGGCGCGAAGGCGUGGGGAGCGAACGGG
rnacentral:rRNA from 1 species